ACACAGCUGAGGAGUCCCAAAAUAGGACGAAACGGCCGUCCAGUGC
rfam:Schistosoma margrebowiei strain Zambia genome assembly, scaffold: SMRZ_scaffold0000182